GCGUUCGCUGGAUGAACCGAAUCCGUGACCGUGAGUGAGGCUCUUUCCUCCCCAAAUUUCCCCACACCACCCGAAACCCUCGCCUCCAUCGACCAUGCCGCCGACGACGACAUCAACGACGGCACCGUCGCUGCCGGACGAGCUCCUCGAGGAGGUCUUCCUCCGCCUCCCGCCGAGGAGCCCGCGCUCCUCGCGCGCGCCUCCUUCGCCAGCAAGCUCUGGCUCGGCCUCCUCUCCGGCCCUCGUUUCCGCCGUCGCUACGGCGAGUUCCAUGGAGCUCCCCCCAUGCUGGGGUUCCUUUAUUCAUGGCCUUAUCUCUGCAUGCCUGAUGAGGAGGAACCCGUGGCAAACUUCGUCUCCACCACGAAAUUCGCCGCGCGCGCUCCCGACGACCAUGGGUACACUCCGUGGGACUGCCGCCAUGGCCGCGUUCUCCUGGGCAAUCAUUAUAAAUAUGAUAUGGGCCUCGUCGUCUGGGACCCAAUGACAGGCCGCCGGAUGAAGCUGGAAGCGCCCGCGCACCAUUGGGUCGCCGCAGUGCUCUGCGAUGUGAGCGAUUGUGACCACCGCGCUUGCCAUGAGGGCCCCUUCCGGGUGGUCUUCGUCGGCCUGGACAGGAUUGGUCAUGACGACGAUGAUUGUGUUGCACGCGCGCGCGUGUACUCGCCGGAGACGGACGAGUGGAGCGAGCAGUGCCCUGGUCUGCUUAUCGCUGAUUGACGCGCCACCGGAGGGGUCUGUCUUUUGCGGUACUGCUAUCCUCAUGGCGAUGGCAGAUGGCAGUUUGGGUUUUGCACACGUGGACAGGUUAACCCUCCUCUGCCUGUGGUCAAGGCAGAUGGGUUCCGAUGGAGUUGCGUCAUGGACUGAGCGUGCAAUCAUCGAUCUCAAAAACCUUCUCCCCAUUCAAAAUCCCAAGAUAAGACUUAGAGUGAUUGGAUCUGUGGAGGGCCGUGAUAUCAUUUUCGUGGCCACAGACCUUGGCAUCUACGUACGAGAUUAAUCUCAAGUCAUUACAGUGGAAGAAGCUAUGGAAGAGAGAGAACUUCCGUACUUUGAUUCCAUACAUGGGUUUCUACAGUCCAUAAGGUUUGCAGAAUGACGGCGAUAGGAAGAAACUGCCGGAGGGACCGUCGGCGCUUCAACAGAAGGCGGUGCGAGCUCAUGAUGCAGCUCGGGCGGCGCCGGCUGGUGGUCUGCUGAGAAUCACCGAGGCUGGGGAAGAAGGUCUUGAAAUAUGAAUCGGACGAAAACUGAAGUGUUUGAAGCCUGCACCUGAUGAUGUGCCGCAGUUGGUCUUCCUAGGACAAGAUGGUUAAGAUGCUGAUCUCGCUUCUGGUCCGGUCUGGUCUCGAUUUCAGAAGUUGGUGAUCCUUUUUUUUCAGUAAUGUUCUUAGCUUGCUAUAUGUCUCGGUGGCUGUAGUGUUGUUUCCUGAUUUUGUGAUGUAAGUUCAGGUACAUCUCGGUGGCUGUAGUUUUAAGAUGCUGAUCUCGGUGGCUGAGUAUGGCAUGUAACCUGAAUCUCGAGAUAUAAGUUCAGGUACUAAAGGAUGGAUCUCAUAGAGGUUUUGAUAUUUUUCAACUUUUGGCUCCAAACAGUCAGGUAUUUGUUGCAUAUUUUUGGCCAACACUGCACAUAAUAUAUGCACACUCAUAUGGUUUUGGUUAGUUCCCAAAACAGAACAGAAAAAAAAAGGAAAUGAAAGGACCAUGAUUCAACAUCGCUUGGAAUAUUUUGAGCUUGUUUGCAGAAAUUGAGCUAAUGGCUAAUGGGGGAUUGGGGGUGUUCUGUCAAGUAAAUGGCAAAUGCAAAAUGGCGUAGGCGUAACAGAGCUCUACAUUACAUACUUGCAUAGAGAUCACCGGGAAUCAAGACAUGGGUUUUCAAGUGCAGAGAUCUGUGAAAAAGAAUCAGGGGGGUGGGGGGCUUCCCCCACCGAAAUAUAUUGAUGAGAACGGACUGUUGUCCCAGAAAGUUACAUCAUCAGAGUUUACAGUGAGAUCGUUAAGGGGGGAGAGAGGGCGGGAGCACACACACUCCCAGUGAGAUCAAGGUUCGGCAGCCCGGGCUGCCGGAGAGAGUCGUCGUGGCUCGAGUCGCGAGGCCCGCGCCCAUCACGUGGGUGAUGCCCUGCUGUCAGGAUAAGGGCAGCAGGGUACGACGGAGACUAGUUUCCCCUUCGGUGUUAAGAGAGCAGCGAUGCCUGCCUCCCUCCAAAGCAAGUCCCAAAGCUUUCCACUUUGGUGUAUGAAGAUCAAGACAGCUCAGCGCCCAGGACAUGUGUCGUUGCCGACCCCAUACUUACAUCAGGAUAACGCCUUUAGCAGGUGAAGCCACCUUUAGCCAGGAUAAGCUUGAGCCCUUGUCCCCCUUCAAAUUUGCCGCCCCGUGGUAUCCCUUCCCACUCAUAUUUUCAGGGAAGAGGACCAAGGCACUAUAAGAAGGGCAGGACAGCCAUUGUAGAGAGGGAUCUUCUUCUUCCUCACCUCGCCUUGUAGCUCCAAGCGCACUGUUGCGCACAAGCAAUCCCAGCCAAGUAGGAGUAGGGUUUUACAUCACCACGGUGGCCCGAACCUGGGAAAUUCAUGUGUCCUUGUCGUGCUCUGUGUUAGCAUGCGCCUCUCGAGCUUCGUCUCCGUCCACGUCUGGUCGCGUAGGCCGUGAACUAGAGCCGGCCGCAGAGCUUGAACCUAAAAUCUCUCAGCAAGUCCGUGGACGCAGCUCCCUGGACUCCGACACCAUCGGCGUCUUUUUGUAUUAUUGUUUCACUAUUGCUCUAUUUCCUCAAGCCAACACAGUUGAUCUUCCUCAUCCGUCACAGGGGAUGAUGCCAAACUCGUCUGUUGUUGAUUCUUUUGAUGCAAGCUGCUGGAUUGCGCGACCGAGCAGCCGAGUGGUCGAAAUGCAUGAUUCUAUCCUUCACCAUGAUUGUUGCCGUAUUAGGCAAGUUCUUAUGCAUUCUUAUCCGGUAACUUUGGAUAUCAUAUUGCUUUCAGAUGUUUGUAUUGUUACAUAAUAUAUAAAUAAAUAUUUUUUCAAUGGAUAUGGAUUGGAAAAGAGUGGAAUAAAAUAUGUUUAUGUGUAGGCUUGUCAUAUUGUCUAUUUUUUGACUGUUUGUUCGUAUUAAUAUGCUUGCAUAAAAUUUUACGUAGAAUUUUUCUUGAAUUUUUUCCUUUUUUAGGCAAUCUCACCUGCUAUGAUAUUUUUAAGUACAAAAAGAAAGAUCCGCGGGCUGACGUAACCAAGCAUGUUGGCCAGCCCCUAAAGAGUACAUGUUUUGCAAGAUUGUGAGCUUCGAAGUUUGAGCUCCUAUAUUCAUGUGUAAACUCACAUGCAAUAAAAGAAGAGGAUCUAGCUAUAAGUUCUUGAUUUUUUUUUCUCGACACCACACAACAUUAAUUACUGGGCCCAGAUGUGCAAGUAAUUUCAUUUGAACACUCUUUUCGGCCCAGAUGUGCCAUAGGUGAGCAGGCUACGGGAUACAUGUGUGCAUGAUUGCACUAAGUUUAAAUGAAAAAAAGAGACUGCACUAUGUUUUAAAAACAGAUGAUCUAUUCAAACUUCUACAGAUCAAUGAGUGCUGAAGGAACCAUAACCCGUGCACAAUUAAAAAAGAAGUGUUUUAUUACUAUUCAAAGUUUCUCGAAAUAGGUAAGAAAACAACAUGUAAUACGUGAGAAAAAAUAAUAUGAAAAGGAGUAACACGAAUUCUGUCUUUAAAAAAACAGAACUCCAACUUUAUUCACUUGUAAUUCGUGUAAUGUUCCUCACAAACAUGAAUUCUGUCUUUGCUCCAUUAUCUGUGUAGGCACGUAACAAACAUUAAACGAAUUAGCAAAUUUACUAAACCGGCUGGCCUAUUAUCAAUGUUUCACAGGCACAUAUUUUCCCCUUUCAUAAAUAAUAAAAAUGCGAUCGGCCGCGCUAGCAACAUGCUUAUGGCCAGUUGGAUGAAUAGUGAGGUCGAAUGGGCCUUCUAAACAAACAUGUUUGGCACAUGCACUGUUGGGCCCGGAAUGUGUCCAUGCUUAUCUAGUCGGUGGCCGAGUUGACCUGCCUCUCUGCCCAUGGAAAGAAAUCCCUAUUUUAUUGGUGACGGCUCUCUUUGCACUGGAGUGUUAUCUACCGUACUUCAUUUGCU